GCUUUCUUAGUUUCUUUUACUGCUACGACAAGGACAACCCAAAAUCCCUAAUUCCUAAAUCUAAAAUCAACACACCUGAGCACCAGCAGCCUUGCCCCAGCCUCCCUCUGCGUCUGUUCCGUCCAGCAUCCGCUACCGGCUCCACCAGCGUCCACUUCCAGUUCCAGUCGAGCGUCCCAUCCAGGUCCAACGUCCACUUCCAACCGAGCAUCGUCCAACAGCUGACUUGCUGAAACACUCUCGUUCAGCUGAUUAACCACCAGCGUCCCGUCCAGCCGAACCUACUGCUCCCGUCCAGCUGAUAAGUUAAGCAAUCCUGAAACACUUCUGUGUUUUCUCAACUCAGCCUCAACUAUUUCAGGUAAACAUUCAACGCCGCCCGUGUUGUUUUUUUAUAUAUUUUGAUUGUUCUAACUUCUAUGUUGUUUUUCUUUUGAAAAAAAUAGUUUUGUGCUAUUUCAAAAGGCAAGAUCUAUCCGUUCAACUUUCAAGACUUUAAAGUUCAAGCCAGUGCCAGUAAAAAUUUUCUUUCGUUCUCUUGUUUGGCCGUUUGAUAUUUUUGAAAAUUAUGCUUGAAAUUAGUAAAUAAUAUGUUUGAGAAAUAUGUUUGUGUAUGUUUGAUUUUUGAAUUUUAAGCUUGAAUAUGUUUGAAAAAUAUGUUCAUGUAUAUUUGAUAUUUGAAUGUUUUGAAUUUUAGGCUUAAUAUAUUUGAAAAAUAUGUUUGUGUAUGAAAUUUGAAUGUUUUCAAUUUUGGGGUUGAACCGUUGAAUGCUUUGAAUAUGUUUGAAUGUUUUGAAAAUGAAGUCCAAGUCUGAAGAGGGUUUUUCAAAUUAAAUGUUUGAAUGCUUUGAAUAGGUUGAAAACAAUGUCUUCAUCACCUUCUACAAAUAAAGAUUCUUCAAAUCCAAUUCCAAGUCUAAUCCCAAAUCCAACCCCAGAUUCAACCCCAAAUUCAACCCCAAAUUUAACUCCAUGCUCAUCGAAGGAUGAUAAUUUGAAUGUUGAUAAUUGUGUUAUUCUUGAUGAGGAUAUUGAGAAAUGAUCCUUAAAGAGGAGAUUGACAUCGGUUGUUUGGAACCAUUUUAAGAAACAAAAAAAAAAUAGAUGGAGUAGACAAGGCGAUUUGUAAUUACUGCAAACGAAAAUUAGGGGGUGAAAGUAAAAAUGGAACCAAAUAUUUGCAUGAUCAUAUUAAGAUAUGCCCAUAUAAAGGAGAAAAUGACAUACGACAAUCCCUAUUGAAUCCUAAUAGAGAGAAGAACAAUACAUUGAGUUUAUAUAACUUCGAUUAGGAAACUACAAAAAAAGCAUUAGCUAGGAUGAUAAUAAGACAUGAGUAUCCUCUCUCAAUGGUUGAGCAUGAAGGUUUUAGGGAAUUUUGUAAUGUCAUCCAACCAUUAUUUAAGAUGGUGUCAAGAAACACAAUAAAGAAGAAGAUUUUGAAAAUUUAUGAGACUAAAAAGUUGAAAACCAUGGCAUUGUUGAAUGAGAUCAAAGGAAAGAUUGCCCUGACAACGGACAUGUGGACUUCCAACCACCAAACAAAAGGUUAUAUGGUUGUCACUGCUCAUUUUGUUGAUGAUAGUUGGGUUUUGCAAAACAAAAUAAUCAAGUUUAUAUAUGUCCCUUCUCCACACACUUCUGAGAUGCUUCAUGAAGAAAUAAUGGAAUGUCUGUUAGAUUGGAAUAUUGAUCGAAAAUUGUCAUUAGUAACUGUAGAUAAUUGUAAUACCAAUGACUCUAUGGUUAAUAUGCUUGUUGAUAGUUUGUGUGAAAACUUAAUAUUGGAUAGGAGUUUAUUUCAUAUGCGGUGUUGUGCUCAUAUUCUGAACUUGAUUGUGAAAGAUGAGUUGGCAGUGAUAGGAGAUGAGAUCGAAAGAGUACGUAGUAGUGUGUCUUUUUGGGUGCAUACACAAAAAAAGAAAGAGAAAUUUGAGGAAACUGCUCGAUAGUUGAAUGUUUAUGAUGGUCAGAUGUUGAGUCUUGAUUAUUGUACUAGGUGGAAUUCCACCUAUUUUAUGUUAGCCACUGCAUUAAAGUACAAAGCUGUUUUUUAUCGACUAAAACAACGAGAACCAAAGUACAAGUGUUUGUCUUUGGAUCAAGAUUGGGUAUUAGCAAAAGAAAUAUGUGAGAAACUGAAAAUAUUUCAUCACAUAACUAAAAUAUUUUCUGGAUCCAAAUAUCCUUCUGCUAAUCUUUUUUCCCCAAAAAUUUGUAAAUUGAAAUUGGUUAUUUCUGAGUGGACUAAUUCUGGCAUUCAAGAGAUCAGAUACAUGGCUUCAAAUAUGAUGUCAAAGUUUGAUAAGUAUUGGAAGACAAUUCAUGGGGUAAUGGCCAUAGCUACAGUUUUAGAUCCACGUUACAAAUUAAAAUUGAUUGAGUUUUACUUAGAAUUUAUGGUGAUAAUUUUUUUCUUGAAGUGGAAAGGAUUAAAAAAAUUUGUUCAGAUGUGGAAAUAGAAUAUCAGUGGUGAAAGUGAUGAUUAUCACGCUAGAAAUUUGGAUGGAACCUCACAGAAUAUCGAAUUUGAUGAUUUUAAUGAUUAUGACUUGUUUGUAUCAAAUUCCAAUAAUAUGAAUCAGAAGCAACAGUUUGAUGCAUAUUUGGAUGAACCUGUCUUAGACAUUUUGAGUUAGUGGAAAUUGAAUGGUGUCAAGUAUCCAAUUUUACAAGAAAUUGCAAGAAACAUAUUAGCCAUCCCGUUAUCUAGUGUUGCAUCAGAGCCUUCUUUUAGUACCUGUGGUAGGAUUGUAAGCCCAUAUCGUAACAAACUUCAUCCAAAGAUGAUAAAGGCUUUAAUGUGCGCUCAAAAUUGGAUUGCAACUGAAGUUUUGACAGGUACUAGCAUGGGAAAAUAAAUGGUUACAUAUUUAACAACUGUUUUAGAAGAUGCAGACGAUUUUGAUGAAGAUGGCGUGGUGACUAAGGAAUGAAUACAACUAAGGAUGGGAUGAUGCCAAGAAAGGUGAAAGAUUUGAUUGUGAAGUCGUUGAAGAGAGAAGGACGAGUUUUGUUGAAUUUUAAGUUGUAUACUUAUUUGAAUGUAUAAGACGUUUGCCUUUAAUUGACUUUCUUAUUCAAACUUUAUUGAAUUUUAAGUUGUAAAGUUAUCUAAUGGAUUUGUUAGCUUUUAAAUUGUCAA